AACUGGGUGGAGUAUCAAAUCCGCACCGUUCCCUAGGAAGUACUAGGACAGCCACGGAGUCGACGCCCCCAGUAGUCUAAGUAUACACAGGCCUAGUUCGGGGGUGUGGGCCUGGUGUUGGCCGUCGUAUUUACCUGCAGGUACACAGGUGUGUGGGUUCUUGGGGUAUUCGAGGUUGUAUGUGGCAGUCUUCACGAGGUUUCCAUUCCCCACUUAUGUCUAUGCUAUUUGUAUUUGU